GAAGAAGAUAGUUGACAAAUAUACCUUUCAAAAUGGUGAAAUCCAUCUCAAACUUGUUCCAAUUUUUUGUUGUUCUAGUUUUGGUUGCAGCUGUUUGGAGCAUGGGAUUACAACAAGUGGAUUGUGAAAAGAUAUGUGUAUCACCUAUGGGAGAAUGUGGUCCAGCCGGAGAUUGUGCUGAAAGGUGUAGAGUCUCAUAUGCUGGCGGGGAAGGUUCCUGCACUCUUGGCCUAUGUAGCUGUACUCAUGGAUGUGAUUGAAGGACUUUAAAUUAUUAAUAGUGUCAUUUUUUUAUAAUUUUAAUUUUAAUAUAAACUAUUUAUAUGAUAAAACAUAUGAUAUUUAUUCAGACACA